GUUUUGUUGUAGUCUCUGUUAUUGGUAAUGGUGAGAGGUUAGCAUGUUUUGUUGUAGCCUCUGUUAUUGGUAAUGGUGAGAGGUUAGCAUGUUUUGUUGUAGCCUCUGUUAUUGGUAAUGGUGAGAGGUUAGCAUGUUUUGUUGUAGCCUCUGUUAUUGGUAAUGGUGAGAGGUUAGCAUGUUUUGUUGUAGCCUCUGUUAUUGGUAAUGGUGAGAGGUUAGCAUGUUUUGUUGUAGUCUCUGUUAUUGGUAAUGGUGAGAGGUUAGCAUGUUUUGUUGUAGCCUCUGUUAUUGGUAAUGGUGAGAGGUUAGCAUGUUUUGUUGUAGCCUCUGUUAUUGGUAAUGGUGAGAGGUUAGCAUGUUUUGUUGUAGCCCUUGUUAACACUAAUAAUACUAUGCAAUGAUAAUAUUUGCAUUUUUCACUAUAAGCAACAGUGGGAUUUCUUCCAUUGACGGAGAGGCGGACCAAAGCGCAGCGUGGUUGUUUUGAUUCAUGUUUGAAUAAAUCACUUCACAUGAACAAACUAACAAAAACAAGAACCGUGAAAACCCAAAACAGCCCUAUCUGGUGCAAAACACAGAGACAGGAACAAUCACCCACAAACAGUCCUAUCUGGUGCAAAACACAGAGACAGGAACAAUCACCCACAAACAGUCCUAUCUGGUGCAAAACACAGAGACAGGAACAAUCACCCACAAACAGCC
ensembl:lncRNA